rnacentral:rRNA from 1 species
AAAGCCUAACGGAGCAAUUUCGCGUGGAGGUAGAAGGCCAACGAGUCGUGAACUUCUUUUCCCUGAGAAGAAGCAAUGACAAUAUCUAGGGAAUAAGCAUCUGCUAACUCUGUGCCAGCAAGCCCGAUAAUACAGAGGAUGCAAGCGUUAUCCAGAAUGAUUGGGCGUAAAGCAUCUGUAGGUGGCUUUUUAAGUUUGUAGUCAAAUCCCAAGGCCCAACCUUGGACAGGCGGUGGAAACUACUAAGUUGGAAUACGGUAGGGGCAGAGGGAAUUUCCUGUGGAGCGGUGAAAUGCGUAGAUAUCGGAAAGAACACCAACGGUGAAAACACUCUGCUGGGCCGACACUGACACUAAGAGACGAAAGCUAAGGGAGCAAAUGUGAUUAGAUACCCCAGUAGUCCUAGCCGUAAACGAUGAAUACUAGGAGCUGUGCUUAUCGACCCAUGCAGUGUUGUAGCUAACGCGUUAAGUAUCCCGCCU